AGCAGCCGCGGUAAUUCCAGCUCCAAUAGCGUAUAUUAAAGUUGUUGCAGUUAAAAAGCUCGUAGUUGAAUUUCGGGAUUGGCGCGUCGGUCGUGCCUCACGGGGUAUGAACUGGUGCAGUCAAUUUCUCACCUUCUGGAGAACCGCGAUGUCCUUAAUUGGGUGCCGCGGGGAACCAGGACCUUUACUUUGAAAAAAUUAGAGUGUUUAAAGCAGGCAUUUUUGCUUGAAUACAUUAGCAUGGAAUAAUAAAAUAGGACGGCAUGGUUCUAUUUUGUUGGUUUCUAGGACCACCGUAAUGAUUAAUAGGGAUAGUUGGGGGCAUUAGUAUUCAAUUGUCAGAGGUGAAAUUCUUGGAUUUAUUGAAGACUAACUACUGCGAAAGCAUUUGCCAAGGAUGUUUUCAUUAAUCAAGAACGAAAGUUAGGGGAUCGAAGACGAUCAGAUACCGUCGUAGUCUUAACCAUAAACUAUGCCGACUAGGAAUCAGACGAUGUUAAUUUUUUAAUGACUCGUUUGGCACCUUACG
rnacentral:rRNA from 1 species